GUCACGCCCACUUCUCGAAACGGCUCACACCUUUGUCGUCUCCGUUUCGUAUCCCUGCAAAUCUCCGUUACCACAACCCUUUCUUUGUCAAUCAAUUAUAUCCUUUACUCCUUUUUUAUGGUUUCCUUUCACCUCCUCCCUAUGUAUCUUCUCCUAUGAAGAUCGUUUCUUCAAAAUUUUAACUCAAACCAAAAUCGAAAAACCUCCACUAACGAAGCUUCAUAACUCGUGCCCUGUUUGUCAUAUGAGUUCCCCACAGACGAUGCUGAUUACGAGUUCAUGACUCAUGGAGGUCAGACCAGUGGGGAAGUCGGACAACGAACGGUUGAGAGUUCGCCUACGCCUAGGAGGUUUAGUGUAUCAUAUCCAUGGCCACUCAGGAGACAUGAUACGAAUUAGGAUUCUGGGAGUGGAUCUGAUAUCGAUACUAGAAAUUCAUGGCAUACACUGAAAUUCUCUAAACAUUUGAAGAUCAAGAGGAGUUAAAAGAGAUUUUGACCUUCGAAUGCUAGCAAGAAGGCGGAUCAAUGGGAAGCUUUUCGAAUAUACUCUGUACACAUUCCUUUUACCUGUCCUUCUCUCCAAUAUUUGUGUUGCCAGUGUUAACAAUGGGUUACGGAGAUGGGGAAGAAGCUUGCAGAGAGGAUAAGGAAGCAAAGGGCCUUACAUUGUCCUGACUCUAAUUGUGGCUUUGAGAAUUUAUUUUCUACACCGAAGAAAAGAAGAAGCCAGUGACUGUUUUAACGUUUUGUUGUCUUCUAGGCUCUUUAAAUGUUCUUAAAACUGGUGUUUUGAUGAUUAUGUGCCUCAUAUUUGUUUUUCUUUCUAUGGAUAGGUUAAAUCACAGCUCAUUGAAUGAAAAAAAGUACCUAACUCCGUAUUUUCCAGUGGUCUUACAUAAUUAUCUCCAAUGGGAUCAGGGGCUUUAUGCUACUGUCGAUAUACUACAGAUUCCACCAACAUCAUAUCUUCAAAGCCAAAAAGGGGGAAGAUGAACAUGGCGACUUGAAGCCAGCCUCUAUCGCUGAGGGUGGAAACUGCAGCAUACCAUAGUAGACACUAGAAGGUGCUCGCAGGUUGAAGCAAAAGAAGUUUUCUUUUCUGUUACAAAGCUUUCCCAAUCUAAAGACAUUGGUUUGGGAGAAAACGGUUUCCUUGAUCAUAAAGGAACUUCUUCCAUCAGCUGAUAAGGUUCGUAGUUUGUAAUUUGCCUAAGUAGCUGAAUCCUAACACUAAUACUGAAGGUAUAGUUUCUGAAUUCUGAUAAGUUGUUUGUUUUUCUAUGGUUAGUAUUGUUACAAGCUCCCUGAUCAGCGAUAUGAAUAGCAAGAUUGAUAUGUAUCUUGCAAAUGGUAUAUCUCUUUAAUACCGAAUAAUAGACGAAACCUUUUUUACACAAAUUAAGUGGUACUUGAUACAAGCGAUUGUGGAUAAGAACUAUGUUGUUUCAAGCUCUGUUAGUAAGUUCUUUUGCAUGCUUCUUAGUUGCAAAACCAAAACUCAGGUUAUGCUGCAAAAUGAUUAGUUUCAUAAAUAUCAGCUUCUACAUUGGUAUAUAUGUAGAAAAAGAAGAGAAAAAAGAAAAGCUUACAAGGAUUAAGGAUGUUAAGGGGCUUUAAAAGGAUAAAGCACUGCAAGAAAUGAACGACAAGAGCAGCAUUUUGAAGUAUUGGACAUAACGCGUGUUUUUUUUAAUCUUGGGAGUAUUCCUUAUGUAUUGCUAUUAGAUUACUUGAUAAGAUAAGAAAUGUAUUUCUUAAUUGGUUUCACCAGUGCGAACAAUCACAAAAUUAUAAUUUGUUCUUCCUUCUUUCAGGUUAUAAUGAUUGGUUGUUAUUUGA